CAUCUAAUCCACCAAGAUCCCAAAGAGAACAAAAAGGCAGAGGAGGGGAGAAUUUGUACUCUCUGUUUGAACCGAAACCACCAUCUUCUCCUGCCCUUGGACAGCGACACCUGCUUCUUGAGCUUUCAGACUCAGAUGGGGAUUUACAUCAUCAGCCCUCCAGAUUCUCAGACCUUUGGAUUUAUAUUGAAUUAUACCACCAGCUUUCCUGGUUCCCCAUCUAGCAGACAGCAGCUGCUACCAUUAAAUAUUAACAAGGAAAAAACAAUGUUAUCGUGGGUUGGGUCAAGUUGACGGACAGCUGUCUCAUACCGGAAGUUUUUCUGUCAUUAACAGACCUUGAUGACACAUCUACUGUUAACUUUUAAGAACAGCCUGUCUCCUCAGCUGCAGCAUGAAUUCUUCUCAAGCACAGAACUGCUGCCUUCAUCCCUGCAUUCCCUGAAGCACCUAGCCCUGCAGCUACGUCCUGCUUUCCAAAUGCCAGUAUGAUGCUCUCAUCACUGAACUGAGCCUGGCCAGGAAAACCUCUGCAGGCACCAGGCAUCCUUCCGGGACCUCAGCCUGACUACCAGCAUGUGCAGGAAGCCACGGGGCCCUGUCCAAGGAAGCAGGCUCUGUGCAGCGACAACUGGAAAAGCCAGUGUCUACACACUCUCCCAAGUCACCAUGCCAGGGAAGAUCGGUGUCUCUCCCUAUUUUACCCAGAAGGAGACUCAAGUUCACAGUGGUGUGAUGACCUGCCCGGAGCCUGGCCGCUGGUAAGGGGGGUAGCCACUCCCACUCCUUUAGCAUUCUUCAGUGACUCCCUGUUACCUUCAAAAACAAGCUCGAAGCUCCUUAGAAGAGUAUCUCAGGUGCCCCAGGAAAGGCACCUCCUCUCAGGACUGGGGCAAUUCCUGGGAUAGAAGCACUACUCCACAAUUCCAAGCUCUGGCACGUGCUUUUCCCCCGUCUGCCCCCACACAAUCGAAGCCCGACUUGGCUAUCCCAAGAAAAUAAACAGAUUGGAAGCUCUUUGAGGGAAGAAACUGAAUGCCCAGGGCCUGCCACAUAUACUGAGCAUUCGUAAAGGUUUGUGGAUCAAAUGAGGAAAUCAAAAAUUUCUCCUACAGGGCUUCGAGAACCAAACAGGCCAAUUACAGGAAAAAGAAGGCUUAGGAACUUUGGUCUUGACUGUGGUCAACCACAACUGAAGCUGCACUGUCCACCACGUGGAGCCACACACACUGAGGGGUCAAUCCCUUGUUCAAUAAAGGGUUCAUGUGGGAGCCGACUAGCCAACAGCACCCUUCAUUCCCCCCCACACCCCCCGCGGGGCAAGCACAGGCAGGGCUUCUCCCCUAGACCUAGGCGGACGGGCACAGGCCACGAAGACC